rnacentral:rRNA from 1 species
UACAGCAGCCAUAUCACCUUGUAACUCACAACUGACAACCCACUGAAGUUAAGCUUGUCUGAACGGGGUCUGUACCUGGAUGGGAGACCUCCUGGGAAAACUAAGGUUGCCGCUUGGA